UUUGCGCGGUCUUAGGAAGGCAGAGUAUAGCUGAGGUGGUGUGCUGUGCAGCCUAUGUUUCGCGUAUUUAUUUUCUUAGAGGCAAGUCCCAUUGAGUUUAGGGGGUUUACUCGUGAGUGCGUUGCGCAGCCGAGUCUGUUGCUUACUGGACAGUAGUGGGGCUUUCUCUCGAAAGUUUGAACACAUUCACUUGCUUCUGAAUAAAGAUACACAAGAUUGGAUUACUUGGGAGUUGAAAUCAAUGUAAAACUGCUGAUAAUCAUGCUCAUAAUAAAGAAUGAAAAAACAGUGGGGAAAAACACAUAAGCAUUACAAUGACAUCUGAGCCACCAACACAAUUCCAUGAAUGAAGCAGGAUAAUAGUACCUGAAAAGCUUAACCCGAAAGCAUUUAUAGGCUUUAAGAUUGCCAUAGGUGCUUCUGGAACUUGCUUGUUUUUGUGAUCAACAGGAAAAGCUAUUUUGAACUAACCUGCAUGACAGAUGACCGUGAAAGGCAUAGGACUUGAUCCAGACUAAUGCUGCAGUCCUAUGCACACAUAUUUGGAAGUGAGCCCUAUUGAAUAAAAUGGGACUUAUUUCUAAGCAAACAGUGCAUAGACUUGCACUGCAUAUUGACUGAAAUUAGGUCCCAGUGAAUCAGCUAGACAAGUUCAUAAUUAUUGAAAUUCCACUGAUUUCAUACGAACUAGGUUCAUGUA